rnacentral:tRNA from 1 species
CGGAGUAUAGCUUAUUAAAGCAUUUCGCUUACACCGAAAAGAUAUUUGUGUAACUCAAACUGCCCCGA